CGUAACGAGGUCUCCGUAGGUGAACCUGCGGAGGGAUCAUUACACAAAUAUGAAGGCGGGCUGGAACCUCUCGGGGUUACAGCCUUGCUGAAUUAUUCACCCUUGUCUUUUGCGUACUUCUUGUUUCCUUGGUGGGUUCGCCCACCACUAGGACAAACAUAAACCUUUUGUAAUUGCAAUCAGCGUCAGUAACAAAUUAAUAAUUACAACUUUCAACAACGGAUCUCUUGGUUCUGGCAUCGAUGAAGAACGCAGCGAAAUGCGAUAAGUAGUGUGAAUUGCAGAAUUCAGUGAAUCAUCGAAUCUUUGAACGCACAUUGCGCCCUUUGGUAUUCCAAAGGGCAUGCCUGUUCGAGCGUCAUUUGUACCCUCAAGCUUUGCUUGGUGUUGGGCGUCUUGUCUCUAGCUUUGCUGGAGACUCGCCUUAAAGUAAUUGGCAGCCGGCCUACUGGUUUCGGAGCGCAGCACAAGUCGCACUCUCUAUCAGCAAAGGUCUAGCAUCCAUUAAGCCUUUUUUCAACUUUUGACCUCGGAUCAGGUAGGGAUACCCGCUGAACUUAAGCAUAUCA
rnacentral:rRNA from 1 species